UUGUUGUGUUUCAGAUUCACUUCCAGUUCUAGGUUCAGGAUGCAACCCCCGAAAGUACUUGUCUGGCAAAUGUGGAACAUUGAGUAAAGUGGGUGUUCUUAUUGCAGAUUUGAAAUAUGGCCAUUGAGAUCACAGAUGUUGAUGAUGCAUGUUUAUGGGGACCAACUGUAGAGAAGAUUUUCAUCGAUAUCAUGGUUGAUGAAGUGAAUAAAGGAAAUAUGGCAAGUGGUCAAUUUGGCUCAAAAACAUGGGCGAAAAUUCUUGAGGAGUUGCAAAUUAAAAGUAAGCGGAAAUACUUAAUUAAACAAGCAAAAGUUCAAUAGGUUGCGCACUAAGUAUCGCGAGUUUGCUGAGUUGUUGAAACAAACUGGAUUUGGAUGGGAUCGUGAAACCAAUACUGUGGUUGCUUCUGAAGAAAUAUGGCAGAAUUAUCUAAGGGCACACCCAAAGGCAACACAAUAUCGCAAGAAAGGAUGUGAUCAUUUUGUAUUGUUGGAACUAAUUUUUAGUAAGUCAACUGCCACUGGUUAGUUCCAUCGUUCUGCUGCUUCAGGUCCGCCCAACACUGAUG